UUGGAUCUGCCGGAGUUUGAUCGGCCUCCGGUGGGACAUUUGUUGGAUGAGAAAGUUAUCAUCUCGGAAAUACGAUGAAAUGGGUUACAUUGUUUAAAGAUUUCAAAGAAUAAGUCGGGUCUUUGUCAGCCUCCUUCCUCUUCUUCUUCAUCUUCCUCGUCUAUUAACCAAGACAACAAUGUCACUUCAACCACACAAGUCUCAUCUGCAUCUUCAUCGUCUUCAAGAAUCUACUAUUGGAUGCCAAAAGAAAGCUUGGUGAAAUUUUAUCUGCAUUUGAAUUUUUGGAUAGCAACUCAAUGGAUCUGAUUGGAUUGGGGUGGCAUUUUUGACGUGCAACAAUGAUGUAAUUUACUUUGAAUGUUCUUUUUUGUUUGAUAAGGAUACACAUACUUUGUGGAGUUGCACUAAUUAUUGUUGGAUGUUUGGUAGAAUUGUAUAAGUUAUAACUUUUGGAUAUUUUGUGGAUAUUUCACUAUUUUAUUGUAUUAUGAUGAAAUUAUUUGUAAUGAUGAAUGAAUAUUUUUAUUUUGUUAAUUCGUAAA